GGGCCCUUAGCUCAGUCGGUAGAGCAGGACACUCAUAAUGUCUUGGCCGCUGGUUCGAGUCCAGCAGGGCCCA
rnacentral:tRNA from 2 species